AUACAGUACAAUAGAUUUAUACUUUAUCUUAAUUAUUAUAUUUUAUUUUUCUUUUUAACUAGAAAUUAUUUUUCAAACUUGAUAUGAUUUAUGGAUUUUUAGUCUGUUUAGAGGCUUUCAAAUAUUUCCACGAGAAUUGCCAUAUUGUUAUAAUCUCUUUGUUCUGUUUUUUCCAGCUCAAUUUAAUUGCAAAUGAAUGAUCUUCAUUCCAAACUUGUCUUCCUUAGGUUCGCCAAUUACGUCAAUUUAGGUUUUAUCGCUUGUAUUAUCGCAUAUUCAUCUGCCUGAGUUCCAUUCAUGCGAAAGGAAUAAAUGCGAAAUAACUUUACUAUUAAUUAAAAUCGAAAAUCGUUCAACCAUGAACUUCAAAAUGUACACUAG